ACUCCUGCGGGAGGCAGCAGUGGGGAAUCUUGCGCAAUGGGCGAAAGCCUGACGCAGCCAUGCCGCGUGAAUGAUGAAGGUCUUAGGAUUGUAAAAUUCUUUCACCGGGGACGAUAAUGACGGUACCCGGAGAAGAAGCCCCGGCUAACUUCGUGCCAGCAGCCGCGGUAAUACGAAGGGGGCUAGCGUUGCUCGGAAUUACUGGGCGUAAAGGGAGCGUAGGCGGACAUUUAAGUCAGGGGUGAAAUCCCGGGGCUCAACCUCGGAAUUGCCUUUGAUACUGGGUGUCUUGAGUAUGAGAGAGGUGUGUGGAACUCCGAGUGUAGAGGUGAAAUUCGUAGAUAUUCGGAAGAACACCAGUGGCGAAGGCGACACACUGGCUCAUUACUGACGCUGAGGCUCGAAAGCGUGGGGAGCAAACAGGAUUAGAUACCCCAGUAGUCCCAUGA
rnacentral:rRNA from 1 species